CUGCUGCCUCCCGUAGGAGUCUGGGCCGUGUCUCAGUCCCAAUGUGGCCGGCCAACCUCUCAGUCCGGCUACUGAUCGUCGCCUUGGUGGGCCGUUACCCCGCCAACCAGCUAAUCAGACGCGAGCUCAUCUCAGAGCGAUAAAUCUUUGACAGUCAGAGAGAUGCCUCCCAACUGUAUCGUGCGGUAUUAGCGGCUGUUUCCAGCCGUUAUUCCCCACUCCAAGGCAGAUUGCU
rnacentral:rRNA from 1 species